UUCACCAAACAUAGCUUACAAGUAUUUGUUGGAAUGCACAAGUUUGUAAAUUUUGUGUCUUCACGUCUUGCUUACAAGUUACAACACUUGGCAAUCAAUGCAUUUUAUGAGUUUUCUCCAGGUAUGCGCUGAACUUGGCAUUGACAGACAAGGGUUUUUUCUCUGUACUUCUCCCCACUCACAGCUUGAAAGAUGAAGCCGCUCAGUUGGAAAGUUACUAAUUUUAUACGUGCCCCUUCUCAUCUUGAAGGGUCUUAUUUGCAGUUCAUGGUGCUAUGACACUAGGAUAUGUCUCUGGACUCUUGAGCUAGCCACAGACUGCAGGUGUGUAGGAGUGAUUUGACAUUGUGAAGGACUAUUCUCCGAAAGUUCAAGGAAUGGUGAGCUGAACAGAGGGGACGGAAGGAGUUCGCCGAACCCCCAGAGGGGCUGCCUACAUACCCUCCGACAAGGGGUCAAAUCACUGUAGUUUGUUGGUUCUAGAAUUCUGACAGGAGGGAGAUGACAUUGUAAAAGGGAGGUCGAGGAGGUUGAGAGAGGUUACAAAAUGGGUUUCAGAUCUCGGAUCUAAGUUUUGAGAGAGAGUCUCUCUCAAGCAGGAAAGGAAGCUCACAUGGUUUGGGGGUAUGAACACGUUGUGGAUCCUCUUGGGGAACCUCUAUUUAUAGAUUUCCUUGGAGGUUUCCCUUUUUGGAAAGUUCUUUUUGAAUUUGUUAAGAAGUUGUUUGAUUUGUGUCACUUGGAUUAGUUGGAAUCUUGUCAUGUGUCCAUGUGGUUACCUCAGUACUUGGGAUCCCGUCCUUUCCUGACGUAUGUAGGUGAGAACGUAGUGCGUUCGGGCUCUGGCUGGUCUCAUGAUUGAGGAGACGUGUGAUCUUGUUGUCAAGGCUUUGACCAGGUUUUGGAAUGUGGUGAGAUAGCAGAGUUGGUUCUGAGGGAUCUCAUGGCGUUUGCGAUUCAAGUAAGUGAGCGAGACUAUGAUAAGGUGAUUGGCGAUCUUGCAACUGAGCUUGCAAUCUCAGGGGUUGCAUAGGAUGUGAGUUGCUAUGGCCCUUCCAGAGUCUUUAAAGGAGAAUGCAAUGAGAAUGGAGUUAAGUGUUAAUUUAUAUAUAUGUGAUUAUGUGAUGGGUGUGGUGGAAGAGUGCUUUGUCAAAAGGCUAGCUCAGUAAUGCGAUGAGACAAGUGGUUCUCAUUGCAUCCUGACCUAUGAACUGUGAUGGAUUGUGUUCAUGUUAUGCACUAUUGUCCCGUUGCAUUGCUAUCGAUGCAAUGGUUAUCACAUGGUCUUACAAGGUUUUUUCAUGAUCAAUGAAGAGAAGUCCUCUCAUGCUCCAGAAAAACCUUUGAAGGUUUAUCAGCUAUGAGCAAAGCAUUACUUUCUUGGGGUUCCUUCCCCUUCCCUUCUAGUGGAUGGUCUUACCAUGUCUCCUGAAUUACUACACUCUGAAGCAAGGGUUUGCAAAUUUUGAGUAAAAGCUGGAUACCAAAGAUUGUGGUACAGAAGUACAACAAUUAGUUACCAGGUAUGAUAGUUUUCUAUAAUUGCCCAUAUAAGUAAAGGAUAUGCAUCAAACUCAUUGUACAAGUACAAAUUUAUAGUCCAGUCAUCUUGAAAAGGCCGCAACAAGCUGAUGACUUGUUUGAACAUCAUUACAGUCCUAUCACCUUGAAAGCUUCUUCAAAUGUCGAACCACUUUGGGUCCAAAUAGAAAAUAUAUGGAGAACCGAUUCAUGUCUGUUGGAAACUUACGAAUCCUGGACUGUAACUCGAGUUUCUCUAAAUGCUAUUAUGACUCCAGAAAUUGGGUGAGCAUCUGGUGGACAUCUAACAUGUACAACUGUAUCCUUGUGCCUUGUUUGAACAUCAAUCUCCAGGACAAGUGAUUGAUUUUGGUUACCACUCACCAUCUCCCCUUGAGUUUCAACGACUCUGAUUUUCAUUUGGAGAUCAGUAAUGGCAUCUUUUUGUGGGUUUGUUAACAAAAUGGGGCAGGAUAAGUCCCUUGAAAAAGGAGUAUUCUUGUUGCAGGAGAAAUGGAGGUUGCACGGAGCAUCCUGGAGAGGCUGAGACCAGUUGUGUGUUUUAAAGGCUGGGAUUACUUUGUUCUUUAGAAAUCAAGUGAAGAGCAAAGGUUCAUUAAGUGGAUGGGUAUUCUGAGUGGGGGACGGAGACAGAAUCAGUGAAGAUGCACUUCAAUGUGUUGGUGUAUUUUGAAAAGUUGAAGAAUAGUUAAGGGCAAAAAAGUACUUUUGUCUAUUUUAACAGCAUGGUGUUAUGAGAAGCAUAUUUCAGAAA